UACAGAGGUCCCAAGCGUUGUUCGGAUUCACUGGGCGUAAAGGGUGCGUAGGUGGCCAGGUAAGUUCGGUGUGAAAGCUCGGAGCUUAACUCCGAAAUGGCAUUGAAUACUAUCUGGCUAGAGGGUCGGAGGGGAGACUGGAAUUCUCGGUGUAGCAGUGAAAUGCGUAGAUAUCGAGAGGAACACCAGUGGCGAAGGCGAGUCUCUGGGCGACACCUGACACUGAGGCACGAAAGCCAGGGGAGCAAACAGG
rnacentral:rRNA from 1 species